rnacentral:misc_RNA from 1 species
GAAAUGCGAUAAGUAAUGCGAAUUGCAGAAUUCAGCGAGUCAUCGAAUCUUUGAACGCACAUUGCGCCCGCCAGCACUCUGGCGGGCAUGCCUGUCCGAGCGUCAUCGUCACCCGUCAAGCACAGCUUGCGUUGGGGCCCUGCGGCUGCCGCAGGCCCCUAAAGACAGUGGCGGGGACCGCCGCCGCGCCGAGCGUAGUAGACCCUCGCUCCGGCGCCGGCGAGGCCCCCGGCCGUUAAGCGACCCACUAGGUUGACCUCGGAUCAGGUAGGAAUACCCGCUGAACUUAA